AGUGAACGCUGGCGGUAGGCCUAACACAUGCAAGUCGAACGGCAGCACAGUAAGAGCUUGCUCUUACGGGUGGCGAGUGGCGGACGGGUGAGGAAUACAUCGGAAUCUACUUUUUCGUGGGGGAUAACGUAGGGAAACUUACGCUAAUACCGCAUACGACCUACGGGUGAAAGCAGUGGAUCUUCGGACCUUGCGCGAUUGAAUGAGCCGAUGUCGGAUUAGCUAGUUGGCGGGGUAAAGGCCCACCAAGGCGACGAUCCGUAGCUGGUCUGAGAGGAUGAUCAGCCACACUGGAACUGAGACACGGUCCAGACUCCUACGGGAGGAAGCAGUGGGGAAUAUUGGACAAUGGGCGCAAGCCUGAUCCAGCCAUCCCGCGUGGGUGAAGAAGGCCUUCGGGUUGUAAAGCCCUUUUGUUGGGAAAGAAAAGCAGCAGGUUAAUACCCCGCUGUUCUGACGGUACCCAAAGAAUAAGCACCGGCUAACUUCGUG
rnacentral:rRNA from 1 species